rnacentral:rRNA from 1 species
AAAGGCGUAGAGUUUUACGAAAAGCUCUAUUGAGGUAUGAUAAAUGGUCUGCAAUGUAGAGGUUUCUUAAUGGAAAACCAUUCUUUUUUGAAUUUAUAUAUGACCUUGCGAAUUGAAACAUCUUAUUAGCUUGUGGAAUAAAAAUCAACCGAGAUUUUGUAAGUAAUGGCGAGUGAAAGCAAAAAAAAGUAACUUUUUUAUUGAAAAUUAAAAAAUUUGGAAAAAUUUAUCAAAGAAGGUGAUAGUCCUGUAAAAUUUCAAAUAUUGUUUUUAGUAAAGAAAAUUUUUCUUGAAUAUUGGGGUUUCAUCCUCGAACUUUAAAUAUCUUUUAUAUGCGAUAGCAUAAAAGUACUGUGAAGGAAAGAUGAAAAGAAUCCUUAAAACGGAAGUGAAAAGAUCUUAAAUUCUGAUACUUACAACUAAUCAUACUCUUGUUUAUUAAACGAUAAUCUGGUGUGCCUUUUGUAUCAUGCAUUAGCGACUUUAUAAUUGCAGCAAGCUUAAUUUGUUAAAUGUAAGCAAAGUAAAAACAAGUUUUUGAUAAGCGUAGUUUAUCAGUUGCUAUUAUAAGACUCGAAUCCAAGUGAUCUUACCAUGAACAAGCUGAAAACAUAAUAACUUAUGUAGGAAGGCUGCACUCAUAGCUGUUGCAAAAGCUUGAGAAGAUUUGUGGUUAGGGGUGAAAGGCCAAUCAAACUUGGUGAUAGCUAGUUUUUUGCGAAAAAUAUUUAGGUAUUGCGUGAUAUUUAAUUUUGAUAAUAGGUAGAGCUCUUUUUAGAUUAAGGAAGCUAAGACUUUACUGACUCUCGAAAAACUUCAAAUGGUUAUUAACAACAUAUUGCAGUCAGAUUACGGGUGCUAAGGUCCGCAAUCAAAAGGGAAACAGCCCAGCUUAUUGGUUAAGGUCCAAAAAUAACAAGCUUAGUGAUAAAGAUGGUAAAAUUGUUAAGAUAAUUAGAAGGUAGGCUUGGAAGCAGCCAUUCUUUUUAAAAUGCGUAACAGCAUACUAAUUGAAAACGAAAGUUUGAAGUUUUUUGCAUCGAAAAUUUAAAUGGACUAAAGCUCUUUACCGAAACUAUAAAUUUUCAGUUUGAGGAAGAUGGUAGCAAAACGUUUUUAAAUCAAUAAAAGUUCAUUGUUAAAUGAGUUGAAGAUAAAAAAGUGAGAAUGCUAAUAUGAGUAACAUUAAACAAUGUAAUAUACAUUGUCGCCGUAAAAUCAAGGUUUUCUACGUAAAGUUUAGCUUCGUAGAGUUGGGCGGUCUCUAAAAAAUUUUGUGAUAACAUUAUUUGAUGAGAAGAAUAAAUUAGUCUAGACAUUAAGUGACAAGUAAACCCCUUUUUUGAAAAAAAGUGGAUUUUUUUAAAAAUUGUUUUGCUUCAAGAAAAAGCUUCUGUCAAUUUUAUAAAAAAUACCCGUACUUAACCGACAAAGGAGAUUUUUUAGGCGUUGAGACAAUUAUUUUUAAGGAACUCGGCAAAAUAAUUCUGUAACUUAGGAAGAAAGAAUACCUUAACAAAAAGGUGAAACAGAUCAGGGGAUAGCGACUGUUUAAUAAAAACAAAAGACUUUGCUAAAUAGUAAUAUGAUGUAUAAGGUCUUAUGCCUGCCCAGUGUUGUAAUGUCAAACUUUUGGUGUUCACGUAUCGUUGUUAAACUUCAAUAAACGGCAGUCGUAACUCUAACGAUUCAAAGGUAGCGAAAUUCCUAGUCAUUUAAUUGGUGACCUGCAUGAAAGGCAUAACGACUUUCCCACUGUCUUGAAAAUGAACUCAGUGAAAUUAGAAUCUGCGUGAAGAUACGCAGUAACAUAAGUUAGACGGAAAGACCCCAUAAACCUUUACUAUAAAUUUGUAUUGUUAUGAUUUGUUUUUUGUGUAGUAUAUGUGGUAACUCUUUAUAAAAGUGAUAUGAAAUACCACUCUAAAAAUAAAAUCUAACUAAUUUGUUGACAAAAAAAAUGCAAAUGGUUUAGUUUGGCUGGGGCGGCAAUCUCCAAAAAAGUAACGGAGAUCUGCAAUGGUAGGCUCAAAUUUAGUAGAAAUGAAUUUUUGAGUACAAUGGCAUAAAGCCUGCUUGACUGUAAGAUAAACAAAUCAAACAGGGACGAAAGUCGGUCAUAGUGAUCCGAAAAUUUUAAAUGGAAAAUUUUUCGCUCAAGGAAUAAAAGGUACUUUGGGGAUAACAGGCUAAUGACUCUUAAGAGCUCAUAUCGACAGAGUCGUUUGGCACCUCGAUGUCGACUCUUCGCAUCCUGGAGCUGUAGAAGGUUUCAAGGGUAUGGCUGUUCGCCAUUUAAAGCGGAACGUGAGUUGGGUUUAGAACGUUGUAAAACAGUUUGGUCCCUAUCUGCUUUAGUUGUAAAAGAAAUGAAAAGAUUUGUUUUUAGUACGAGAGGACCAAAACAACAUAACCACUUAUGUACCAGUUUUACCAAAAAGUCGGGUAGUUACGUUAUUUUAAUAUAAUCACUGAAAACAUCAAUUUGUAGAAGAUACCUUUGAAACAAUUUCUUCAAAUUGUAGAAGACUAUUACAGGUUAGGAGAGCCGUUGAAGUGUAGUAAUAGAGC